rnacentral:rRNA from 1 species
CCCUUAGAUGUUCUGGGCCGCACGCGUGCUACACUGAGUGGAUCAGCGGGUCAGGUUGCGCGAAAGCGUUUCCUAAUCUUUAAAUCCGCUCGUGAUUGGGAUUGACGGUUGCAAUUUUCUGUCAUGAACGAGGAAUACCUUGUAAGCGCGGGUCAUCAUCCCGCGCUGAAUACGUCCCUGCCCUUUGUACACACCGCCCGUCGCUCCUACCGAUUGAGUGGUCCGGUGAGGCUUUGGGAUCUGAGCGGAAAGAGCGUUUCGCUGUUUCUGCUCGGAAAACUCAGUCGAACCUUAUCAUUUAGAGGAAGGAGAAGUCGUAACA